rnacentral:misc_RNA from 1 species
AUUCACUUCCCGGGAUGCAUAAACAUUCUAGGCAAUCAUGCAGCGUUGCAUCAGCCUUUUUGCCCGGAUAUUGAUAAUGCUCAUUGAACAGAUACUGUUCCUCUGGUUGUCCAAUGCUUUGAAGUUUCAGCAGUAGACAUUCCAUCAAUUGACUGCAUGCACUCUGAUCCAAUUUAAUGCAUUUGCUAAGAUCCAUCAAAAACCAGGAAUUCAUAUAUCCUUGUUUGAAUGAUCUCGAUAUAAAUUCCAGAGAUAUGCAGUUUAUUGCAUCUAACCAUUGUAGAGCUGAUGGAAGCUCUGGCAAAAAUUGAAGCCUCUUGCAAUCUCUUAAAUCAAGUGACGUCAACAUAGAACAUUGCUUGAUGCUUGUAGGUAUACUUCUGAAAUUAUUUCCACUUAAA